UACAGAGGGUGCAAGCGUUAAUCGGAAUUACUGGGCGUAAAGCGCACGUAGGCGGUUUUUUAAGUCAGAUGUGAAAGCCCCGGGCUCAACCUGGGAAUUGCAUUUGAAACUGGAAAACUAGAGUGUGUGAGAGGGGGGUAGAAUUCCAAGUGUAGCGGUGAAAUGCGUAGAGAUUUGGAGGAAUACCAGUGGCGAAGGCGGCCCCCUGGCACAACACUGACGCUCAGGUGCGAAAGCGUGGGGAGCAAACAGG
rnacentral:rRNA from 3 species